UACGUAGGGGGCAAGCGUUGUCCGGAUUUAUUGGGCGUAAAGAGCGCGCAGGCGGUCGUUCAAGUCGCGUGUGAAAGCCCCCGGCUCAACUGGGGAGGGUCACGCGAUACUGAUCGACUCGAAGGCAGGAGAGGGUAGUGGAAUUCCCGGUGUAGUGGUGAAAUUCGUAGAUAUCGGGAGGAACACCAGUGGCGAAGGCGGCGAUCUGGGAGGAUACUGACGCUGAGGUGCGAAAGCGUGGGGAGCAAACAGG
rnacentral:rRNA from 1 species